rnacentral:rRNA from 1 species
CCUACGGGGGGCAGCAGUGGGGAAUAUUGCGCAAUGGGGGCAACCCUGACGCAGCCAUGCCGCGUGUGUGAAGAAGGCCUUAGGGUUGUAAAGCACUUUCAAUUGGGAAGAAAAGUACACCGUUAAUAGCGGUGUGCCCUGACAUUACCUUUAGAAGAAGCACCGGCUAACUCCGUGCCAGCAGCCGCGGUAAUACGGAGGGUGCGAGCGUUAAUCGGAAUUACUGGGCGUAAAGCGCGCGUAGGCGGUUUGUUAAGUCAGCUGUGAAAGCCCUGGGCUCAACCUGGGAACUGCAGUUGAUACUGGCCGACUAGAGUACGAGAGAGGGAGGUAGAAUUCCAUGUGUAGCGGUGAAAUGCGUAGAUAUAUGGAGGAAUACCAGUGGCGAAGGCGGCCUCCUGGCUCGAUACUGACGCUGAGGUGCGAAAGCGUGGGGAUCAAACAGGAUUAGAUACCCUGGUAGUCCACGCCGUAAACGAUGUCUACUAGCCGUUGGGAGACUUGAUUUYUUAGUGGCGCAGCUAACGCAAUAAGUAGACCKCUUGGGGAGUACGGCCGCAAGGUUAAAACUCAAAUGAAUUGACGGGGGCCCGCACAAGCGGUGGAGCAUGUGGUUUAAUUCGAUGCAACGCGAAGAACCUUWCCAGGUCUUGACAUCCUGCGAAUUUUCUAGAGAUAGAUUAGUGCCUUCGGGAWCGCAGUGACAGGUGYUGCAUGGCUGUCGUCASMUCGUGUCGUGAGAURUUGGGUUAAGUCCCGUAACGAGCGCAACCCUUGUCCUUAGUUGYCAGCACAUUAUGGUGGGMACUCUAAGGRRACUGCCGGUGAYAAACCGGAGGAAGGUGGGGAYGACGUCAAGUCAUCAUGGCCCUUACGUCUUGGGCUACACACGUGCUACAAUGGCCGGUACAAAGGGUUGCCAAGYCGYGAGGUGGAGCUAAUCUCAUAAAACCGGUCGUAGUCCGGAUYGCAGUCUGCAACUCGACUGCGUGAAGUCGGAAUCGCUAGUAAUCGUAGAUCAGAAUGCUACGGUGAAUACGUUCCCGGGCCUUGUACACACCGCCCGUC